rnacentral:rRNA from 1 species
UACGAGGGGGGCACGCGUUGUUCGGAAUUAUUGGGCGUAAAGGGCGCGUAGGUGGUCGGGUACGUCUGUUGUGAAAUCUCCGAGCUUAACUCGGAAAUGGCAGUGGAUACUAUCCGGCUAGAGGAAUGGAGGGGAGACUGGAAUACUUGGUGUAGCAGUGAAAUGCGUAGAUAUCAAGUGGAACACCAGUGGCGAAGGCGAGUCUCUGGACAUUUCCUGACGCUGAGGCACGAAAGCCAGGGGAGCAAACGGG